UACAGAGGGUGCGAGCGUUGUCCGGAAUCACUGGGCGUAAAGGGCGCGUAGGUGGUGGCUUAAGCGUGCGGUGAAAGCUCGGGGCUCAACUCCGAGUCGGCCGUGCGAACUGGGCUCACUGGAGCAUAGUAGAGGCAGGUGGAAUUCCGGGUGUAGCGGUGGAAUGCGCAGAUAUCAGGAGGAACACCGGUGGCGAAGGCGGGUCUCUGGGCCGAAACUGACGCUGAGGAGCGAAAGCGUGGGGAGCGAACAGG
rnacentral:rRNA from 1 species